CGGAAGAAGCAUUGUCAAGGAACUCGGCAAAAUGGCCCCGUAACUUAGGGAUAAGGGGUGCCUGGGAAACCAGGCCGCAGAGAAUAGGCUCAAGCAACUGUUUAGCAAAAACACAGGUCUAUGCGAAACCGAAAGGUGAGGUAUAUGGGCUGCCGCCUGCCCGGUGCUGGAAGGUUAUGAGGAGAGGUGAGCGGUACCGCGCAGCUUUGAAUUUACGCCCCUGUAAUCG
rnacentral:rRNA from 1 species